rnacentral:sRNA from 1 species
GCGGGGCGGGCGGACUCGGCGCGGCACAGAGCCUCGGGAGGCUGAUGCAACUUUCCCUUUAAGAAAGCCACCUGGGCGCACCGCGGUGCAGACCCAGCACGCCUGGGCCGGGGGCUGCAGCAUGCUCUUGAGAUCUGUGGCCUGAAAGGCGCUGGAAGCAGAGCCUGUGUGUGUGGUCCCCGUCACCAGAGCCCCAACCCACCGUCGCCAUGGUAGGAAAAGGUGCCAAAGGGAUGCUGAAUGGUGCUGUGCCCAGCGAGGCCACCAAGAGGGACCAGAACCUCAAACGGGGCAACUGGGGCAACCAGAUCGAGUUUGUACUGACGAGCGUGGGCUAUGCCGUGGGCCUGGGCAAUGUCUGGCGCUUCCCAUACCUCUGCUAUCGCAACGGGGGAGGUACCCAGUGGGCACAGGGCAGGGACCACCCACUUGGGUAAAGCCCACCCACCAGGGCCUGGGCCACCCUCUCCCUGGCACAGACUCACUCCAGAUAAAGGCUGGCCUCUGGCCCUGGCCUCCUUCGCCCCCAUCCCUGGCUUAGGCACCCUUUGCCUAAGGCAGGCCACCCGAGACCCUGGCAGUCUGUUGUUCGGGCCUGGCCCUGCCAGUUGGCCCCCUUUGAGGUGAGGAGAGGUGAGAAAAGGACCUAACCCCCCUCCAAGGCUCCCUGUUCUGUUCCCUGGGGUUCAGCAGCCCCCCUAAAUGGUUCAGGGAUUUUGAGGAUCUCAGCAACUUAUGCUUGUGAAAUCGCUUGGUUAAACCAUCAAAUCCCACCCAAGUAUGGAGGCUCUGGGGCCUGGAUUCCACUCCAAGCAGACUUCCUGAGAGCCUCUGUCAAGUUGAGAGACAGGCUGGGGGUGGUGAGCCUCAGCCCAGCUCCUACUCAAGCCUGGCACACUCCUCCCUGGGUCCUACCC